rnacentral:rRNA from 1 species
AAUCAACGCUGGCGGCGUGCCUAACACAUGCAAGUCGAGCGCGAAAGGGGGGUAACUCCCGAGUAGAGCGGCGAACGGGUGAGUAACGCGUGGGUGAUCUGCCUCCGAGUGGGGAAUAACACCGGGAAACUGGUGCUAAUACCGCAUGACAUCCUCGGGUCGCACCGAGGAUCAAAGCUGGGGACCGCAAGGCCUAGCGCCUGGAGAGGAGCCCGCGUCCGAUUAGCUAGUUGGCGGGGUAACGGCCCACCAAGGCGACGAUCGGUAGCC